UUAUCUUUGGCUGUUUUUCAAGUAGAAAAGUAAGUGUACUGUGAGCCUUUUAUUUGAGAUGCUGAGAGCUAUUAGGAUGAGUAUUUCAGUUUUCUUGUCAAUAGUGAUACUCUGAUGAUGUUGCAGUUAUUUGAAGUAGAACUGAUUGUCUAAACCAGACACACAUAGGAGUGUGCUCCAUUGGUCUUGUGGAGAGUGCUGCACAUUAACCCCUCCCUCAACUGUGCAAUCCACUUGAGACUGGCUUCUCUAAGCCACAGUUGUUAUCUGCUGUGUAAAGUCCUGGAUGCCAGCACUGUGGCUUCUUAGAGAGGGCAGAUGCUUUGUAUAUCGAGCUGCAGCAUUCAUCGUAGAAAAUGCUACAAAGCUGUCUCUCUUCCCCUUCUCUCAUGUUUCCC
rnacentral:lncRNA from 1 species